rnacentral:lncRNA from 1 species
ACCAGUCAACCCGACUUCACACCACCACCCCUUCACCAAAACUCGCCACUGUUAGCCCUUAUGCCACCAAACGAUCAGUCCAACGUCCCCAACUAGUAGCGCCGCCGGACAGACCAUUGUUGAACCUCUCCGACGUCAUCCAGCCAACACUAACCACUGUUGCUUCACCGGAAAUCACCAGACCCUGUGCCAGACCUCAUGCCAACCACCCAACGACCACCCUUGAACUUCAUCUCCUUCACAUUCUAACACCCAUAAACCAUCACAAUUUUACCCCAAAUUAUCCCUUUUCAGCUUUAUCGUUUUGGUUUAGCUCGAGUUGUCCGACGAGUUACGAGUGCGAUUCGGAGUUGAGAAAAAUAGAAUAAGAUUUUGAGGUUAAAAUUCUGCUUCUUCUCACUACAAAAAUGGUUUGAGAUUUGGGUUGUUGAAGUUGAUUUCGAUUAUCCGUUUUCGAGUUUUGAGGUCUGGAUUUGAGUCCAUUCAGCGUCCGUUCAAUUACGUUCGAUAUUCCGGCUUGGUCUUCGGUCAGGUCUAUCCACGUUCAUCAUCCAUGACAUUCUCUAGGAUUGAUUCUGGCGUUAUUGUCUUGCAAUUGAGUAUGUGAUACUUUCUUGAUUGUUACUUGACAUAUAGAUGAAGAUCUGCUGUAUAUAUAUGCCUAAAUCUUCUAUACUCACUUUGUUUUUCUUAGGUUUUUUCUAAUGAAUUCAAACCAUGUUGUGUUGGUUCCUUCUGAAUGUUCACUGUUAAUACAUAUUUGGCUUAUUUGAGCAUAUGUCAUUGAGGUUUUAAUUCUCUACUAAAUGUGUUUUGUUAUCUUGCUCAUUUUAUGUGAAUAAUCAUGAAUAGCAG